rnacentral:lncRNA from 1 species
AUCAAUUUUACAACUAUCGAAGGAAAAAGAAGGUGACACGUGGCUGGUCGGUGGAGGAAUAAAAUCGCGAGAAGCCAAACCGGAAGCCGUAGGUUGACGGCUCUAUGUCUUCGUCGGCCGCGACAUCUUGUCCUCGCAGACCACGUUCCUGUAAAAAGUCCACGAGAUAGAACGAAGCGGAUGGCUGUCUGCCGGAUAUCAAACGAACGAACGAAUCGGACGAGAAGGUUGAAACAAGCUAGACGAAACUCAGGUGCGGCGGACGCGUUUCUUUCGAAGAAGAAAGGAAGAGAAGAAGAAAAGGAGAAAAUCGUUUACCCCGCUUAACACGCUCUGUUACAUCGUUACAUCCGCUAUACGCGUAUGCUACACGCUGAAACUUAAAACGAUAUUACUGGACAACAGGGGCCAUUUCGAUUUUUCCACUCUCGCGGACCACACCCACCGCUAUUAUCAGCACUCGCGAAUUCUUGUUGCGUUCUGAAAUGGUGGGUAAAAUGAUUGAAAGUUACCGGUCGCGUAUGUUUAUACAGACAUAAGCACAUUCGUCAGCCCGAUACGAUAAUAUAUUUCCGCCACGGCAGUCGUGCUAAUAAUCGAUUCCGGAGAGGCACACACGAGCAGAAGGAACAAAUAUUGUCACAUGAUGCGGUGGAAUAAAUUUCAAUUACGAAAUGAUGAAGUUCCAUUUACAAAUUCAGCCAAAGAAGUAAUGUGUGCGUAACAGCACAUGAUUUUAAUCACGUGCUCAGUUAAGUCUAACUGUAGUCACGCGCAACAGCGUAAUAAUUAACCCCUUAGCUCGGAUGGGUCAACGAUGUCGUUCAACCAAGUACAAACAUUCCGUCUCGGUGGCUCACACUUGUAAAUUGCAACGUUUCAUGGCACGCAUCGAUUCUCUUAUCAUCCAUUAUCCCUGCGUUAUCACAGUGCGGCGUCACAGAUCGCGUUAAACCUUUUCUAUCGGAUAUUUCACCAAUAUCUCCGGAUAGACAAAUUUUACUUAUUUCUCAGUUUCUAUUUUCAUUUGGUCGUAAAAUGGUAGAUUAGACAGUGAUAAAUAAGGUAGAAAACGAAGACGUUCUCUCUCAAUCUUUUCUCGAUCUUAUAAUCGGCAUUUGUAUACACGUAUCUGACGUAUAUGUAGGUAAGAAGGUAGGUUGCAAACAGCCUGACCCAAGAGAAUUACAGUUUAAGAACUUUCGUUCUUCGUGAAUCGUAAAUGCGAUGGACGCGAACAAUCGAGAUUAUUUUAUAUACGACCACGAAAGCCCGAGAUAAUUAACGCGUUUUAUCAGAAAAUGCAUAAAUGGUAAAUUAAUGAUUUGAAAUAAUUUCAAGGGCAAUGUAUCUUAUUCAAUUACACGUUUAUAUAAUUUGUCUUUCCGUCGCCUAAAUUUAGAAAGUUCUCGAAAGAACUGGAGAUACGCGAUUAAGAUACUUAAGAUAUAUCCGUUAUUUUAAUAGAAAUACGAAAAGUGACGAUGACUAAUAGCGAAAAUAACGAGGAGAGUCGAGAUUACAUCGGGGGUGCUAGCGUCGCAUAGUUGGUUCAAGAGGCGACGAUCGUAAUCGUGUUUACGCAAAUUCGUACUUUUACGAAUUGUACGUUUUCGUACGUUGAAAUUUCCGUAAAUACGUAAUCAUCCGUACGGUCUAGUUCGAAACUAAGAAAGCGGAUAAAAGUAGAAAGCAAAGAAAG